rnacentral:rRNA from 1 species
CUGUCUCAACGAGAGACUCGGUGAAAUUAUAGUACCUGUGAAGAUGCAGGUUACCCGCGACAGGACGGAAAGACCCCGUGGAGCUUUACUGUAGCCUGAUAUUGAAUUUUGGUGCAACUUGUACAGGAUAGGUAGGAGCCAGAGAACCCGGAGCGCCAGCUUCGGGGGAGGCGUCGGUGGGAUACUACCCUGGUUGUAUUGAACUUCUAACCCACAAGCCUUAGCGGCUUGGGAGACAGUGUCAGGCGGGCAGUUUGACUGGGGCGGUCGCCUCCUAAAGAGUAACGGAGGCGCUCAAAGGUUCCCUCAGAAUGGUUGGAAAUCAUUCGCAGAGUGUAAAGGCACAAGGGAGCUUGACUGCGAGACGGACAGGUCGAGCAGGGUCGAAAGACGGA